GUACUUACCUGGAUGGGGUCAAUGGGUGAUCAUUAAGGUCCACGGCCUAGGGAAGUGACUUCCACUGCACUUCGGAUGGGUGCUUCCCUAAGGUCUACCCAAGAGGUGGAGCCUACAUCAUAAUUUGUGCAAGGGGGGGCUUGCGUCCGCGCAGCCCCUGC
rnacentral:snRNA from 1 species